GAUGAACGCUGGCGGCGUGCCUAAUACAUGCAAGUCGAGCGAACAGACGAGGAGCUUGCUCCUCUGACGUUAGCGGCGGACGGGUGAGUAACACGUGGAUAACCUACCUAUAAGACUGGGAUAACUUCGGGAAACCGGAGCUAAUACCGGAUAAUAUAUUGAACCGCAUGGUUCAAUAGUGAAAGACGGUUUUGCUGUCACUUAUAGAUGGAUCCGCGCCGCAUUAGCUAGUUGGUAAGGUAACGGCUUACCAAGGCAACGAUGCGUAGCCGACCUGAGAGGGGGAUCGGCCAACAUGGAACUGGGAAAAGGGUCAGACUUCUACGGGAGGCAGCAGUAGGGAAUCUUCCAGAAUGGGCGGAAGCCUGACCGAGCAAAGGCGGGUGGGUGAAGAAGGUCCUCGGGUCGGAAAACCCUUUUUUUAGGGAAGAAAAAAAUGUGUAAGUAACAAGGCCGGCCUGACGGUACCUAAAGAAGAAGCCACGGCUAACUAAGUG
rnacentral:rRNA from 1 species